rnacentral:rRNA from 1 species
UACAGAGGGUGCGAGCGUUGUCCGGAAUCACUGGGCGUAAAGGGCGCGUAGGCGGCUCGGUCAGCGUGCGGUGAAAGCCCGGGGCUCAACCCCGGGUCGGCCGUGCGAACUGCUGGGCUGGAGCACUGUAGAGGCAGGUGGAAUUCCGGGUGUAGCGGUGGAAUGCGUAGAGAUCCGGAAGAACACCGGUGGCGAAGGCGGCCUGCUGGGCAGUAGCUGACGCUGAUGCGCGACAGCGUGGGGACGCAAACAGG